GGGUUGUGAGGUUAAGCGACUAAGCGUACACGGUGGAUGCCCUGGCAGUCAGAGGCGAUGAAGGACGUGCUAAUCUGCGAAAAGCGUCGGUAAGGUGAUAUGAACCGUUAUAGCCGGCGAUGUCCGAAUGGGGAAACCCAGUGCAAUUCGUUGCACUAUCGUUAACUGAAUACAUAGGUUAACGAGGCGAACCGGGGGAACUGAAACAUCUAAGUACCCCGAGGAAAAGAAAUCAACCGAGAUUCCCCCAGUAGCGGCGAGCGAACGGGGAGCAGCCCAGAGUCUGAAUCAGCUUGUGUGUUAGUGGAACGGUCUGGAAAGUCCGACGGUACAGGGUGAUAGUCCCGUACACCAAAAUGCACAGGCUGUGAACUCGAAGAGUAGGGCGGGACACGUGGUAUCCUGUCUGAAUAUGGGGGGACCAUCCUCCAAGGCUAAAUACUCCUGACUGACCGAUAGUGAACCAGUACCGUGAGGGAAAGGCGAAAAGAACCCCGGCGAGGGGAGUGAAAAAGAACCUGAAACCGUGUACGUACAAGCAGUGGGAGCACCUUCGGGUGUGACUGCGUACCUUUUGUAUAAUGGGUCAGCGACUUAUAUUCUGUAGCAAGGUUAACCGUAUAGGGGAGCCGCAGGGAAACCGAGUCUUAACUGGGCGUUAAGUUGCAGGGUAUAGACCCGAAACCCGGUGAUCUAGCCAUGGGCAGGUUGAAGGUUGGGUAACACUAACUGGAGGACCGAACCGACUAAUGUUGAAAAAUUAGCGGAUGACUUGUGGCUGGGGGUGAAAGGCCAAUCAAACCGGGAGAUAGCUGGUUCUCCCCGAAAGCUAUUUAGGUAGCGCCUCGUGAACUCAUCUUCGGGGGUAGAGCACUGUUUCGGCUAGGGGGUCAUCCCGACUUACCAACCCGAUGCAAACUACGAAUACCGAAGAAUGUUAUCACGGGAGACACACGGCGGGUGCUAACGUCCGUCGUGAAGAGGGAAACAACCCAGACCGCCAGCUAAGGUCCCAAAGUCAUGGUUAAGUGGGAAACGAUGUGGGAAGGCACAGACAGCCAGGAUGUUGGCUUAGAAGCAGCCAUCAUUUAAAGAAAGCGUAAUAGCUCACUGGUCGAGUCGGCCUGCGCGGAAGAUGUAACGGGGCUAAACCAUGCACCGAAGCUGCGGCAGCGACACUAUGUGUUGUUGGGUAGGGGAGCGUUCUGUAAGCCUGCGAAGGUGUGCUGUGAGGCAUGCUGGAGGUAUCAGAAGUGCGAAUGCUGACAUAAGUAACGAUAAAGCGGGUGAAAAGCCCGCUCGCCGGAAGACCAAGGGUUCCUGUCCAACGUUAAUCGGGGCAGGGUGAGUCGACCCCUAAGGCGAGGCCGAAAGGCGUAGUCGAUGGGAAACAGGUUAAUAUUCCUGUACUUGGUGUUACUGCGAAGGGGGGACGGAGAAGGCUAUGUUAGCCGGGCGACGGUUGUCCCGGUUUAAGCAUGUAGGCUGAUUGUCCAGGCAAAUCCGGAUAAUCAAGGCUGAGGUGUGAUGACGAGGCACUACGGUGCUGAAGUAACAAAUGCCCUGCUUCCAGGAAAAGCCUCUAAGCAUCAGGUAACAUCAAAUCGUACCCCAAACCGACACAGGUGGUCAGGUAGAGAAUACCAAGGCGCUUGAGAGAACUCGGGUGAAGGAACUAGGCAAAAUGGUGCCGUAACUUCGGGAGAAGGCACGCUGGUGUGUAGGUGAAGUCCCUGCGGAUGGAGCUGAGACCAGUCGAAGAUACCAGCUGGCUGCAACUGUUUAUUAAAAACACAGCACUGUGCAAACACGAAAGUGGACGUAUACGGUGUGACGCCUGCCCGGUGCCGGAAGGUUAAUUGAUGGGGUUAUCCGUAAGGAGAAGCUCUUGAUCGAAGCCCCGGUAAACGGCGGCCGUAACUAUAACGGUCCUAAGGUAGCGAAAUUCCUUGUCGGGUAAGUUCCGACCUGCACGAAUGGCGUAAUGAUGGCCAGGCUGUCUCCACCCGAGACUCAGUGAAAUUGAACUCGCUGUGAAGAUGCAGUGUACCCGCGGCAAGACGGAAAGACCCCGUGAACCUUUACUAUAGCUUGACACUGAACAUUGAGCCUUGAUGUGUAGGAUAGGUGGGAGGCUUUGAAGCGUGGACGCCAGUCUGCGUGGAGCCAACCUUGAAAUACCACCCUUUAAUGUUUGAUGUUCUAACGUUGGCCCCUUACCGGGGUUGCGGACAGUGUCUGGUGGGUAGUUUGACUGGGGCGGUCUCCUCCCAAAGCGUAACGGAGGAGCACGAAGGUUAGCUAAUCCUGGUCGGACAUCAGGAGGUUAGUGCAAUGGCAUAAGCUAGCUUGACUGCGAGCGUGACGGCGCGAGCAGGUGCGAAAGCAGGUCAUAGUGAUCCGGUGGUUCUGAAUGGAAGGGCCAUCGCUCAACGGAUAAAAGGUACUCCGGGGAUAACAGGCUGAUACCGCCCAAGAGUUCAUAUCGACGGCGGUGUUUGGCACCUCGAUGUCGGCUCAUCACAUCCUGGGGCUGAAGUAGGUCCCAAGGGUAUGGCUGUUCGCCAUUUAAAGUGGUACGCGAGCUGGGUUUAGAACGUCGUGAGACAGUUCGGUCCCUAUCUGCCGUGGGCGCUGGAGAAUUGAGGGGGGCUGCUCCUAGUACGAGAGGACCGGAGUGGACGCAUCACUGGUGUUCGGGUUGUCAUGCCAAUGGCACUGCCCGGUAGCUAAAUGCGGAAGAGAUAAGUGCUGAAAGCAUCUAAGCACGAAACUUGCCCCGAGAUGAGUUCUCCCUGAGACUUUAAGUCUCCUGAAGGAACGUUAAAGACGAUGACGUUGAUAGGCCGGGUGUGUAAGCGCAGCGAUGCGUUGAGCUAACCGGUACUAAUGAACCGUGAGGCUUAACCUUACAACGCCGAAG
rnacentral:rRNA from 1 species